AAUAGCCCACUCACCAAAAUGGGCUAUAGAGACGAAUAGCCGAGAGCAGUGACGGUGAAGACGGUGGGUGGGUGCAUAAGAGUAGCAAUGGAGGUGGAAUCAAAGAAGGAGGAGGAGAAGAAGAAGAAGAGUAGCAGAGAAUUGGAGGCAACGAUCCUUGAGAAGGUUGGGAACGUCAUCGCCUUCAUCAAGGAAGCCAAACACGUUGACGAAGUCAUUUGUGCCCUCCACUCCCUCGUCAUCCUUCUCUUCCCUCCUCUCGACUCACAACAUGCCCUCUCAGGUAGCAUUGAUCAACAGUAUAGAGAUCAGGUGAUUAGUGCCAAAGUCCCUUCUGAACUGGAGAGGAGUGAAUGUUGGAGGGUAUUCUAUCAAGGUGCUGCAUUUCCUACUCUGGCUAGGGCUUUGUUAUAUGAUGUUGCUUCCAAUUGGCUAGCUUGUUUCCCCAUUUCUGCAAGGAAACAUGUCUAUGAUGUGUUCUUUGUCAAUGGGCAUACAAUGGAAGUUGUUCACACUGUAGUUCCUUCUCUAUUACAAAAUGGAAGUGGCAGUUUUGAUAUUAAGGCUGUGCGCUCAAAUGCUGAGAGACUGCUUGCACUUUGCUUACUUGAGAAUGACGGGGUACUCCAGAUGGCUCGAGCAUUUGGUGUUUCUUGUCAAUCUAAAGAUAAUAGCACUGAACAGCUUUACUCUAAAAUCUCUAGGGUGGCACAACUCAUUACAUCUAUUCCUGACAAGGCACAAUUGACAACCUCCAGUUCUCUUUCAUCUCACUUCUUUUUUAAGCAGAUUACCAUUCAACUUAUUGCUGGAGCAGAAGAAUGGGAUGUGAAUCUAAGCAGCAAAGAUGUUAUCUUCAACAAAAUGGGCUUGGAUGGUACCAUCCUAUUUGUUGGAGAAUCAUUUGCACGUAUUUGUCGACGAGGAUCUGCAGACGUGCUGUUAAGUCAAGUGAUCCCACAUAUUCUUAGACAUGUACGUAGCAUCCUAUUGUCAAAUGCUGAUGUGGUUGUUAGAAAAGUCUUUGAGACAAACCCUGGUUCUCAGUUUUGGUUGAAGUUGAUGGAGGCAAUUAAAGACCGCUAUGCUGUGGAAAGAUUGUCUGAACAGCUAUUACAUCAGUUAGCAGCUGAACGUGUAACUGAUGUUGAAGCUUACUGGAUUCUUUGGAUAUUGUUCCAUCAGAUUUAUGAACAUCAGACUCCUUUCAGGUCCAUGUUUGUUGAAAAAUUUCUACUCUGGAAAGUAUUUCCUGUCUGUUGCCUGAGGUGGAUCCUUCAAUUUGCUGUUCUUGAAUUACCUCCUGAUGCUGCUUUGCCCACAAAAGCACAUAAUUCUCGUCAUCUCUUAGACACAGCACAGCAUCUUGCAGUGGUAUGGUCCGAAAGAGAGUUUGUGCAAUCAACCCCAGUGGAGCAGCAAGCUUAUGUAACGGCAGCUCUAGGCCUUUCCCUAGAGAAGAUGUCAAAAGAAGAUUUAGAUGCAACCAAGGAUGUGAUGCGCUCAGUUCUUCAAGGAGUUAGCUGUAGGUUGGAGAACCCUGCCCAUUUGGUUCGAAGAAUGGCUAGCAGUAUUGCUUUAGUAUUUUCUAAAAUAAUUGAUCCUGAAAAUCCUUUGUAUCUUGAUGAUAGCUGCAGUGGAGAGAUCAUUGACUGGGAGUUUGGGUUAGCAACCCCUGUGAAAGGGAUGCUGACUACCUCACAAUGCAUAGAUAAGGAUAUUAACAAGGUAAAAACAUGUAGUGCCUUGUUAUCUGAAAAGGAAUUUAACAACACGGCCAACAGCCGGGUGCGCAAUAAUGACAAGGCUGGGAAGAGUAAAUUAUCUGAAUUUAAGUUGGUUGAUCCUGAUGAGAUUAUUGAUCCAGCUACAUUAAACAAGGAAUUAGUUUCUGGUGAAGAAGAAGAAGAAGAUGAUGAUGGUGCAAGUGAGAAUUCUGAUACUUCAAGUGACUCAUCUUUACAGCCGUAUGACUUGUCAGAUGAUGACACAGAUUUGAAAAGGAAAUUAUCACAUUUGGUUGAUGUUGUUGGAGCACUUAGAAAAUCUGAUGAUGCAGAUGGUGUUGAAAGGGCUCUUUAUGUUGCUGAAAAGCUUGUCCGUGCGUCGCCUGAUGAAUUAAGGUAUUUAGCAGGUGAUCUCGUAAGAACUCUUGUACAGGUUCGUUGCUCUGAUUCAACUAUAGAAGGGGAAGAAGAAUCAGCUGAAGAAAAGAGGCAAAAAGCGCUGGUCGCAUUGAUUGUCAUGUCUCCUUUCGAAUCUCUUGAUACCCUCAACAAACUAUUAUAUUCACCUCAUGUAGAUAUUGGCCAACGAAUCAUGAUGCUUGAUGUCAUGACAGAUGCAGCACUGGAACUUGCUGAUACUAAAAUUAUGAAACCAAAACAUCAGCCAAGGAAUCUCAUAUCAACCAUUUCAGAGACUCAACCAUGGUUUAUGCCCAGUAGCAUAGGGCCUCCUGGAGCUGGUCCCUGGAAAGAGAUCUCAGGCACAGAAGCUCCAUUGAAUUGGUCAUACUCCUAUGAGAGAGAAGUUCCACCUAGACCAGGUCAAAUCAAGCGAGGGAAGACACGCCGAUGGAGCUUCCGAUCAGAAAAUAUACAAGGACAUCAGAUGGAAUGGUCCCAGAAUAAGUUUCCUCAAUAUGCUGCAGCAUUUAUGCUUCCAGCUAUGCAGGGAUUUGAUAAGAAAAGGCAUGGCAUUGACUUGCUUGGUCGGGAUUUUAUUGUCCUGGGGAAACUCAUCUAUAUGCUUGGUGUUUGUAUGAAAUGCACAGCCAUGCAUCCAGAAGCAUCUGCCAUAGCUCCUGCCCUUAUUGAUAUGUUAAGCUCUAGGGAGAUAUGUCAACAUGCGGAAGCAUAUGUCAGAAGAUCUGUCCUUUUUGCAGCUUCUUGCAUAUUGGUUGCCCUUCAUCCCUCUUAUGUAGCAUCUUCGUUAAUAGAAGGGAGUCCUGAAAUUUCUAAAGGGCUCGAGUGGGUUCGCACAUGGGCACUUUGUGUAGCUGAGUCAGACACAGAUAGAGAGUGCUACACGCUGGCUGUAACAUGUCUCCAACUCCAUGCUGAGAUGGCCCUUCAAGCUUCUCGAGCUCUAGAGUCAGUAGAAAGCACAUCUAAGGCUAAGAGCAUUGAUAUGCCUUCCAAUCUGUUGAAGGGGAUAAUUAAAAUUCCUCAAUCAAAUGUGGAAUACUAAUUCAUCAUGCCCCUGCUGGAUGGCAUACUUUGGGUCCUGGUUUAACCCUCCAAGAAUUGGAAUGCUGACAGGAAGUGCAUCGUACAAUGGACCGACACUGCUAACUAUGUUUGCCUUGGAAACUUGGGAUUCUCUGCUCCUUGGGAGUUUUUUAGCAUAUGAACUUGAAACUUGGCUAAAGAGACAGUGCUGAAGACUUACAAGGAUCAAGCUAGAGAGAUUAUAGCAAUAUGUAUUGGUUAGGCAACUUUUGGAUCAUUCGGGUGUGCUAGUGAAAACUGACAAUGUGGUUCUUUUUCGGUUUCUCUUUUGUAACUCGCUUAUGGGCUUGAAUGCAAUAAUACUUCACGAUGUUGUAUAUAACUCUCACUCAUGAGCUAGUUAAUGUUUAAAACAUGUUCUUGCCUGAAAAUUUUCAGAUAAAGAAUGCCUUGUUUGUAUGGAUAACUUGGAAAGAAAUGCUUGAAAAGG